AACAAGAAUUAGCAGGAGGAAGGAAAGGCACUAACAUUUAUCUAGGAUCUGCCCCCAGUGACAGAUACUAUGGUGCUAUUUUCCAUGUGUGGUCUCAUAUUGUUCCUUCAUCAACCCUGAAAAGUGAUAUUACUUCCAUUUUACACAUGAGGAAAAUAAAGCUCAGAAAGAUACAUAGCUAAAAUGUAGUGCGAUCAAGAUGUUUAACCCAGAUCCAUAACUUAUCUCAGUACUUGCUAUCUUUAUGACAAAAGUAAUGAUCUCACUUCCUUUUGUGACUUGUCUUUCCUUUCUAGUCUUACUGUUUCUUUAUUACCUCCAAUUAUUAUGCCACAAACCAUUCAUUACUUGCUUUUAUAAACCAGUUCUCUAAAGUUUAGCCUCCCAGGAUGGACCCUUGACUCCCCUCUCCCUGCCCUUCCUACUUAUUAUGUAUAGUCACACUGUAAGUCCAUCCAUCUCUUGCUAAAAAGAUCUUAAAUCAAGUCUCUUUGCAUCAAGAUGAGGCAUCUGUUACCCUCAUGUGGAAAACAACUGUAGAUACAGACUUUUAAGUAGAGUGCCACAUGUUCCUACUGGUUCCACACAGGGAUCUGUUCUCAACAGUACAUCUGGAAUUAUCUUUUGAAAGUGAACUUUCCCCAUCAGCAGCUCUGAGAGAGCCCUGCCUCACCCCCUUCCAGCAUCUCUUUCUCAGCCUUUCCAGAUGACAUUGCUUGCCACACCCAUGGCUUCUGGAAGGGACAGGAUUAAAUGCCG
rnacentral:lncRNA from 1 species